rnacentral:rRNA from 1 species
CAGCUUGCUGGGUUGGAUGAGUGGCGAACGGGUGAGUAACACGUGAGUAACCUGCCCCCUUCUUUGGGAUAACGGUCGGAAACGGCUGCUAAUACCGGGUAUUCACUGUCCUUCGCAUGGGGGGUGGUGGAAAGGUUUUUUCUGGUGGGGGAUGGGCUCGCGGCCUAUCAGCUUGUUGGUGGGGUGAUGGCUUACCAAGGCUUUGACGGGUAACCGGCCUGAGAGGGUGACCGGUCACAUUGGGACUGAGAUACGGCCCAGACUCCUACGGGAGGCAGCAGUGGGGAAUAUUGCACAAUGGGCGAAAGCCUGAUGCAGCGACGCCGCGUGAGGGAUGACGGCCUUCGGGUUGUAAACCUCUUUCGCUCAUGGUCAAGCCGCAACAGUGGUUGUGGUGAGGGUAGUGGGUGAAGAAGCACCGGCUAACUACGUGCCAGCAGCCGCGGUAAUACGUAGGGUGCGAGCGUUGUCCGGAAUUAUUGGGCGUAAAGGGCUUGUAGGCGGUUUGUCGCGUCUGCCGUGAAAUCCUCUGGCUUAACUGGGGGCGUGCGGUGGGUACGGGCAGGCUUGAGUGCGGUAGGGGAGGCUGGAACUCCUGGUGUAGCGGUGGAAU